UCCUACGGGGGGCAGCAGUAGGGAAUUUUCGACAAUGGGCGCAAGCCUGAACGAGCAAUGCCGCGUGAACGAGGAAGGUCUUCGGAUCGUAAAGUUCUGUUGAAGGGGAAAAAGAGCGGAGAGAGGAAAUGGUCUCCGAUUGAUAUUACCCUUCGAGGAGGUCACGGCUAACUACGUGCCAGCAGCCGCGGUAAUACGUAGGUGGCGAGCGUUAUCCGGAAUGAUUGGGCGUAAAGGGUGCGUAGGCGGCCUGCUAAGUCUGGAGUGAAAGGUACCGGCUCAACCGGUACAGGCUCUGGAAACUG
rnacentral:rRNA from 1 species